UUCUUUAGCAAGGUUUAAAAAGUAUUCUAUCCGCUUAAAGGUUAGACAAAAGAAAGGAUGUUGCAAAUGAAUGAUCAAAUCAUCACUGAUUUUUUAAAAAAGGUUACAUGUAGUACUUAAGUGAAAUUCUCAUCUUACUGAUUUACAAUUACAAGCUAAUUUUUCUAUAGCUGCCUGAAAAUCUUUUCCUUCAAUGGGCACUAAUGGAUUGCCCAUGGAGCUGUGAAUUGGACCAAUCAUUCUGGAAAGUAAUUUGGGGCUGGGUUGUGUAUGAUGGGGCGAUUCUAAAACACAAAAUCAGACAGGAAAUGAAAAAAAAGGAGAAAUUAUCUCACAAAAAUGGGGCAUGUAAAGAACUGGUACAGAGGAAACAGGUGGGGGAGAAGAUUGGAAAUGCUGGAACUUAUUCCCAUGGGAUCUGAGUUGAAGAGGGAACAACUUAUACAUCUAUUGGAGGGGUGUAAAAGUCUUCUGGACCUGUAGAGAGGGUGAGGCAAAAAAAGAGGAAAAAUGGAAGAGGACAUGAUGGAGAGAAAUACAGAAUUAGUCAUCAUGACAGCGAACACAAAUGACAAAAUGGAACAGGACCACAAGCUACAUUAGAAAGCGAAUCCAAAAAAUGGGAAAACCUGGGCACAGAGAGGCAUCUAAGUGGUCCAGCAGAAAGAAUGCUCAGCUUAGAGUCAAGAAGACCUGAGUUCCGAUCCCGCCUGAGACAUUUAUUAGUUGUGUGACCUUCAACCUCAUCUGUAAAAUGGGCAUAAUAACAGCACCCAUCUCCCAGGAUCAUUGUGGGCCUCAGAUGAGAGAACUAUGUAUAAAGCGUUGUACACCCUUAAAUUGCUGUGUAAAUGCCAGCUGUGAUGAAGUGAUUUGCCGAAGCAAGCAAAUCUACUUAGCCCCCAUAGGAGUAUGCCUCAGAUGGUGCUACAUUUUUAGGAAAAAAAAUGCAUCCCAAAUUUUACAAUUAAGAACCUCAG